GAUGAAGAACGCAGCGAAAUGCGAUAAGUAGUGUGAAUUGCAGAAUUCAGUGAAUCAUCGAAUCUUUGAACGCACAUUGCGCCCCUUGGUAUUCCAUGGGGCAUGCCUGUUCGAGCGUCAUUUGUACCUUCAAGCUCUGCUUGGUGUUGGGCCCCGCCGCCCCGGCGGGCCCUAAAGUCAGUGGCGGUGCCGUCCGGCUCCGAGCGUAGUAAUUUUUCUCGCUUUGGAGGCCCGGGCGCGUGCUUGCCAUCAACCCCCAAUUUUUUUCAGGUUGACCUCGGAUCAGGUAGGGAUACCCGCUGAACUUAAGCAUAUCAAUAAGCGGAGGA
rnacentral:misc_RNA from 1 species